rnacentral:tRNA from 1 species
GCCGAGGUGGCGGAAUUGGUAGACGCACAAGCUUGAGGGGCUUGCGGGAGCAAUCUCGUGGAGGUUCAAGUCCUCUCCUCGGCA